rnacentral:rRNA from 1 species
GAUGAACGCUGGCGGCGUGCCUAAUACAUGCAAGUCGAACGAGGAGCCUUUGUAGCAAUACGAGGGUAUCCUAGUGGCGAACGGGUGAGUAACGCGUUGGUGACCUGCCCCGAAGUGUGGGAUAACAGUCCGAAAGGACUGCUAAUACCGCAUGCGGUCAUCGGAUUUAGAAACCGAUGUCCAAAGCAGCAAUGCGCUUUGGGAGGGACCUGCGUCCCAUCAGCUAGUUGGUAGGGUAACGGCCUACCAAGGCGACGACGGGUAGGGGACCUGAGAGGGUGACCCCCCACAAUGGAACUGAAAUACGGUCCAUACACCUACGGGUGGCAGCAGUAGGGAAUAUUGCACAAUGGGCGAAAGCCUGAUGCAGCAACGCCGCGUGCACGAUGAAGGUCUUCGGAUCGUAAAGUGCUUUUCUGGGAGAUGAGAAAGGACAGUAUCCCAGGAAUAAGUCUCGGCUAACUACGUGCCAGCAGCCGCUGUAAAAC